UACCCGCAGCACAAGUGGUGGUCAUUAUUAUUGGGCCUAAAGCGUCCGUAGCUGGCUUGUUAGAUGCCUGGGUAAAUCGAUGCGCUCAACGUAUCGAACUCCGGGUAGACCGGCAAGCUUGGGACCGGGAGAGGCGUGAGCUACUCGGGGGGUAGGGGUAAAAUCCUGUAAUCCUCCGGGGAGGACCAGUGGCGAAGGCGUCACGCUAGAACGGCUCCGACAGUGAGGGACGAAGCCCUGGGGCGUAAACCGG
rnacentral:rRNA from 1 species